rnacentral:rRNA from 1 species
CUAUGGUGGCGACCGGCGCACGGGUGCGUAACGCGUAUGCAACCUACCUUUAACAGGGGGAUAACACUGAGAAAUUGGUACUAAUUCCCCAUAACAUUCGAGAAGGCAUCUUCUUGGGUUAAAAACUCCGGUGGUUAAAGAUGGGCAUGCGUUGUAUUAGCUAGUUGGUGAGGUAACGGCUCACCAAGGCAACGACACAUAGGGGGACUGAGAGGUUAACCCCCCACAUUGGUACUGAGACACGGACCAA